GUCGUGACUGCGUGCCUUUUGAAGAAUGAGCCUGCGAGUUUGCGGUGUGUUGCGAGGUUAACCCGUGUGGGGGAGCCGUAGCGAAAGCGAGUCCGAAUAGGGCGAUGUAGUAGCGCGCUCAAGACCCGAAGCGGAGUGAUCUAGCCAUGGGCAGGCUGAAGCGCGGGUAAGACCGUGUGGAGGGCCGAACCCACCAGGGUUGAAAACCUGGGGGAUGACCUGUGGUUAGGGGUGAAAGGCCAAUCAAACUCCGUGAUAGCUGGUUCUCCCCGAAAUGCAUUUAGGUGCAGCGUCGUGUGUUUCUUGCCGGAGGUAGAGCACUGGAUAGGCGAUGGGCCCUACCGGGUUACUGACCUUAGCCAAACUCCGAAUGCCGGUAAGUGAGAGCGCGGCAGUGAGACUGUGGGGGAUAAGCUCCAUGGUCGAGAGGGAAACAGCCCAGAGCAUCGACUAAGGCCCCUAAGCGUACGCUAAGUGGGAAAGGAUGUGGAGUCGCAGAGACAACCAGGAGGUUGGCUUAGAAGCAGCCACCCUUGAAAGAGUGCGUAAUAGCUCACUGGUCAAGUGAUUCCGCGCCGACAAUGUAGCGGGGCUCAAGCGUACCGCCGAAGUCGUGUCAUU
rnacentral:rRNA from 1 species